rnacentral:piRNA from 1 species
UGAAUUGCAAUACGUUGAGGAUAUCUC